GGAAGAAAUGGGAUUUGAGAAAAGUUUGUUUUUUCUUAGACAGGAAGGGGUUGUAGAACCUAGUCAUUUCUUGAAUAAUACGUAGUUACACGAAGAGGAAGUAGCCAAGAGGCUGUCAGUCUUUGCAUCUUGAGGCACUUCUCUCUCUCUUUCAAACCGAGUUAUACAGCAAUGAAAAAUGUUUGUUGGGUCGCCGUCCGAAAUGUCCGUUCAUGGUGCGUUCUUGGCCGAAGAAUGACCAGACACACACCGUAAACAGGAGAACACAAUUCCUAGAGGAGGAGGAGUUGCUUCAAGACCAUAAUGACAAAAGGCACACAGUACCGAUGGCAGAGAAGGGAGCAAGAAGGAGCCUAAGUCUUUUGUGGCCUCUUCAAGUAGUUGCACCAGUUCUGGGCAGCCUGCUUCUGGA